CAGCCGCCACGGGAAUACGAAGGGGGCUAGCGUUGUUCGGAUUUACUGGGCGUAAAGGGCGCGUAGGCGGACUGAUAAGUCAGGGGUGAAAUCCCAAGGCUCAACCUUGGAACUGCCUUUGAUACUGUUUGUCUUGAGUUCGAGAGAGGUAAGUGGAACUGCGAGUGUAGAGGUGAAAUUCGUAGAUAUUCGGAAGAACACCAGUGGCGAAGGCGACUGACUGGACAAGUAUUGACGCUGAGGUGCGAAAGCGUGGGGAGCAAACAGGAUUAGAUACCCCAGUAGUCCCUGUCUCUUAUAC
rnacentral:rRNA from 1 species